rnacentral:lncRNA from 1 species
ACUCGUCUGGGAGAGGGUGAGUCUUUAAGGAGGUUUAUCUCACAGUUUAAUCCAGAAGCAAUACAGGUAGAGGAAUUAAAUCAUGAGCUAGCAUGUGAAGCAUUGAAGAAAGAAACACGCGAUGUCAAGUUCAUGGAUUCCCUAAUCAAGAAUCCAGCCCCCUACAUACCAAAAGCUAAUUGACAGAGUCCAGAAAUACAUCAGAUUUUAUGACGAAGUCCAAGCAUUGAAAGAGGACAAAAUAAUGAGUCAAAAGCAAGACCAAAAACUGGAGAAGUAAG